rnacentral:rRNA from 1 species
GAUGAACGCUGGCGGCGUGCCUAAUACAUGCAAGUCGAGCGAACGGACGAGAAGCUUGCUUCUCUGAUGUUAGCGGCGGACGGGUGAGUAACACGUGGAUAACCUACCUAUAAGACUGGGAUAACUUCGGGAAACCGGAGCUAAUACCGGAUAAUAUUUUGAACCGCAUGGUUCAAAAGUGAAAGACGGUCUUGCUGUCACUUAUAGAUGGAUCCGCGCUGCAUUAGCUAGUUGGUAAGGUAACGGCUUACCAAGGCAACGAUGCAUAGCCGACCUGAGAGGGUGAUCGGCCACACUGGAACUGAGACACGGUCCAGACUCCUACGGGAGGCAGCAGUAGGGAGUCUUCCGCAAUGGGCGAAAGACUGACGGAGCAACGCCGCGUGAGUGAUGAAGGUCUUCGGAUCGUAAAACUCUGUUAUUAGGGAAGAACAUAUGUGUAAGUAACUGUGCACAUCUUGACGGUACCUAAUCAGAAAGCCACGGCUAACUACGUG